AGACAGAGAAAGAGAGAGGGAGAGAGCAAGUGAUAAGUGACUGAGCGGCGGAAGAGAGGGCAACACUGGGAUGAGGUGAGGUGAUAAGCGUCGGCCGCUGGAUUAGUGUUAUCUGCUGGGCCCCCUGGCUCUUUAAAUAGCGGACCGCCAAGUGCCACCACCUGCCUUGUUUCUCACAUCAUGUGGCCUUGAUUUUGUAAUACAGACAACACUCUGAAUAGACUUCAAUUGAAGCUAUGGUGUAAGGCGAGAGAUAGAGGGUCAAGGAUGCUGGCGAGACAUAAUCCACAGAAAUGCCAUAUCAAUGCCAUAUUUUACUGUUAUGCACACUUUGUAAUGACACCACAUGAUACAAAAUGGGGGAGGUGGUAGUGUAGUGGUUAAGGAACUGGGCCAGAGUAUAGUAGCCUAAAAGUUGUGGGUUCAAUUCCCAGCUUCCACUGUUGUGCCCUUGAGGAAAGCACUUAACCCCAAGUUGCUCCGGAGACAAGAGUAAAACAAAGGGAACGAAAUCCUUUCUUUAUGAUUACAAAACCCGUAAGCAGCUUCUGUCUUGCGUGAAAGAGAAAAGCCUCCAGCUGCAUUCUGCUCACAGAGCCCAGCAACACACCGCUCUCUGGGACAAAGAGGGGAGCAGGUGACCAACCGCGAUAAGCACGAAAUCUCCACCGGUUACUUAGACUCUCAUCUACCUCCCUUCCUCUCUCCCGUCCAGCCGACAUGGUAAACAGCAGCCAUGACUGAACUGCUGUUUCACGCUAAGGUUAUUUCUUUCUUGUCCUGUGUGGGUCUGUCGGCUGUCUCAAUUGGCUCUAGCUAUUUCUUAAAAUGUCUCUCCCUUCACUAUAUCCCAGAUGCCUUCACCAAUAUACUGUUUUUGUUGUUGGUGCCAGUGUCUAGAUCCCCCAGAGCCAGCCUCUUCUGUUUCUGACAGAUGAAAUGGGUUGAGGCUAAUUUGGAGAUUAACUGACCGUGAGAGUCCACUACUGGAAAUAUCAUCUCAGUGCUUGAGUGAAGGAGCUUCUCAACGCUGGUUGCCCCUUCCUGGCUCUCCAGCACAGCUGUGGGGACUUGCACAACCUGCCCCAACUGCACAGACAACAGCCUAGAAAAGACAAUUGUUCAUGAAAUCA